rnacentral:lncRNA from 12 species
UGCUGACAGAGCAACGCUGAGACAUGCUCUCUGGCACGUGGCCUCCUCUGUUUGGUGGCCAGUUUCAGUUUCCUGAUAGGUCUUGUUCUGUAGCUCAUCCGGGACAGAUAUGUGACAGGGAGCCAAGGACAAGCAGAAAGUCUGCAAGCGCAGGAAAGGUUAAGUCAUCUUGACCCUGUUCUACCUUCCGUAGAAGGAACCACUGAGCUUGGACUUGCUGGAAAACAUGUGGGCAGUUUUCCUUGAGAAGUGCCAGGCUGAGACUCCUACUUGCUACAACCCACCCAGGGCCAGUCAUGCCUCUGCCACCAGCAAUGAGGACACCAAGGGUUUCAAAAGUUCUAUCUGGAUUUUUUUUUCCCUUAAGAAAAAAAAAAAAACACAACUACUACUCUACUACUCUAUGUAACUGGUGAUGUGGACCCAUCAUUUGGCCUGGAGAGGAGCGUCUGAAACCGGGAGCCUUGCUCGUGCUGCGAGCACAGCCGGCCGGCCUCAGCGUCCUCAGCAUCCUCAGCAUCCUCAGCUCCGAGCGGCUGUUUGUACAAAUGACUGUGUCUCCAGCUCUUCCGGAGAGAACUCUGGUUCUUGUUAGCAGCUUUCAAGCUUUGAUCGCCAAGCCUGAGACAGGAGAGU